rnacentral:ncRNA from 1 species
UUCGCGCUGAAAGCAUCUAAGCGCGAAGCCCCCCUCAAGAUGAGAUUUCCCAUUCCCUUCGUGGAAGUAAGACCCCUUGUAGAUGACAAGGUAGAUCGGUCCGGGGUGUAAGCACAGCAAUGUGUUCAGCUGACGGAUACGAAUCGGUCGAGGGCUUUCCCUA